rnacentral:rRNA from 1 species
UACGGGAGUGGCAAGCGUUAUCCGGAAUUAUUGGGCGUAAAGCGUCCGCAGGCGGUCUUGUAAGUCUGUCGUUAAAGCGUGGAGCUUAACUCCAUUUAAGCGAUGGAAACUGCAAGACUAGAGUGUGGUAGGGGCAGAGGGAAUUCCCGGUGUAGCGGUGAAAUGCGUAGAUAUCGGGAAGAACACCAGUGGCGAAGGCGCUCUGCUGGGCCAUAACUGACGCUCAUGGACGAAAGCCAGGGGAGCGAAAGGGAUUAGAUACCCCUGUAGUCCUGGCCGUAAACGAUGAACACUAGGUGUCGGGGGAAUCGACCCCCUCGGUGUCGUAGCCAACGCGUUAAGUGUUCCGCCUGGGGAGUACGCACGCAAGUGUGAAACUCAAAGGAAUUGACGGGGGCCCGCACAAGCGGUGGAGUAUGUGGUUUAAUUCGAUGCAACGCGAAGAACCUUACCAGGGUUUGACAUCCUGCGAAUCCCUUGGAAACGAGGGAGUGCCUUCGGGAACGCAGUGACAGGUGGUGCAUGGCUGUCGUCAGCUCGUGUCGUGAGAUGUUGGGUUAAGUCCCGCAACGAGCGCAACCCACGUCGUUAGUUGCCAGCAUUCAGUUGGGCACUCUAGCGAGACCGCCGGUGAUAAACCGGAGGAAGGUGUGGACGGCGUCAAGUCAUCAUGCCCCUUACAUCCUGGGCUACACACGUACUACAAUGCUACGGACAAAGGGCAGCAAACUCGCGAGAGCUAGCAAAUCCCAUAAACCGUGGCUCAGUUCAGAUCGUAGGCUGCAACUCGCCUACGUGAAGGAGGAAUCGCUAGUAAUCGCAGGUCAGCAUACUGCGGUGAAUACGUUCCCGGGCCU